CCUGCCAGGGUCUUUCAUGGACGCUCUCUUUCCUUCUCUUACAUUUGUUUCGCCUUUGCUUCCUGGUUUUUCUUUUAAGAAUAUUUUCAGUAUUGGUUCGACCUGUGUCGUUUUCUCAUUUCUUAACUGAUUCUACUUAUGCAUGUUCUUAAAUUAUUUGUUGUCAAUUUUUUUAUUCUAUCCAGAAUGCUUCUCAAAGGGCGUUCUCUAGAGGUCGUGACGUUUUAGAGAUCUGGAGGUCUUCAAUGGAGGUAUUUUUCUAGGAAGAAACUUAGAGGAAUCUUUAAGAAAUGAUGUUGAUCCGCUCGCUGUUUCUCUUUACUAAAUGGACCUCGAUAGCACUCUGUUUCUACUGAGAUCAUAGUUAAGAACCCGUCUCCAAAAGGUGUAUUGACAGCGUGGAGAAGUUUGCAACAUCUAGAUCAAUCUGUUAUCUCAAAAUUGCAUCAUGGCUUCAAGUCCCGCCUGCAGCAAUCUUCACUAAGUUUUGCAGAUGACAUGGAUAAGCUUGCCAUACACAGCACAGGUUGAUUGAAUUAAAUUUGUUCAAGCCCCUUCCCGUAUCUGACAUUAGGAGGAAAUGUCAUUCUCCUUGCACCUUAGGUUUGUAAUUAAUCUUCAUAUCAGAGACCUACAAUUUCUUGUACAUGCUGGGUUCUUUUGCAAGCAUUUAUCAUGGCA